ACUACGCUGUGUGAUGGAUGACUUGGCUUGAGUGCCGAAGAAGGGCGUGGCAAGCUGCGAUAAGCUCCGGGUAGACGCACGCUGUCUAUGAUCCGGAGAUGCCCGAAUAGGACUUCCUCUUAGUGCUCCUACGGGAGCGGGAACCCCCCGAACUGAAACAUCUUAGUAGGGGGAGGAAGAGAAAACAAUAGUGAUUUCCUUAUUAGCGGCGAGCGAACAGGAAACAGUUCAAACUGAAUCCUCAUGGAAACAUGAUGGAGAUGUGGUGUAUGGGCCAAGAUAGAUCCUCCUCGAUGAAGUCAAAGUGUGCUGAAAAGCUCCACCAAAGAAGGUGAUAGUCCUGUAGACGUAAAUCGAGAGGAACGUUUUUGGUUCCAGAGUAGCACUGGUUGGGAAUCCAGUGUGAAUAUGGGAGGCAUUAACUUCUAAAACUAAAUACAACUCAAGACCGAUAGCGUAUUAGUACGGUGACGGAAAGUUGAAAAGACCCCCGGGAGGGGCGUCAAAAGAGCCUGAAAUCACACAGUUACAGACGGUUAGGGCGCUAAAGGGUUGAAGCAUCAGAACGAAGGCAUGGUAAUGUGCCGUUAGGAUGAUGUGGACCGGCGUUCUAUGUUCCGUUUCGAAUCACGGACCGGGGAGUUCACUUAUGUGGCGAGACUAAGAUUUUAUCGUAAUCUCAGGGAAACCAAAGUGCGGGCAGCCUUCGGGCGAGCCGCUGGGUCUGAAUAGGGCCCGGAGUCACGUGAGUGAGACUAGAAACCAGGUGAUCUUUUCCUGAACAGGGUGAAGUCAGGCGAAAGCCUGAUGGAGGCCCGCAAUAGUAUUGAUAUGCAAUUCAUUUAUCUGAUUUGGGAAAAGGGGCAAUAGACCAAUCUAACCUGGUGAUAGCUAGUUCCUUCCGAAGUAUGUCGCAGCAUAGCCUCGAGUGAGACUGCUUGCGGGGUAGAGCACUAAUCGGGUGGCACGGAGGAGAAAUCCUUCACCAACCUUUUAAACUCCGAAUACGCAUGCGUCGAAGAUCUCGGGAGACGGGAUGCAGUGGUUAAGCUACUGCUCCGGGAGGGGGACAACCCAGACUAAGGUUAAGGCCCCUCAAUCCUGGCUAAGUGAUAAAUCAAAGGGCGUCGUAAUGCUAAGACAGCGGGGAGGUAAGCUUAGAAGCAGCUAUCCUUUAAAGAAAUCGUUACAGAUCACCCGCCGAGGAUUGGGGCCCCGAAGAUGGACGGGUCUCAAGCCAGGUGCCGAUACCUUAGGCAAUUUUAAAUUUGUGUUAGGAAGGCGUCCCGCAUGGGCGGAAGCAAGGGGGUGACCUCUUGUGGACCGUGCAGGGAUUGCAGAUCCCGGUGGUAGUAACAGCAUAGUCGGGUGAGAAUCCCGAUCGCCGAAAGAGCAAGGGUUUCUAGGCAAUGCGUCGUCAGCCUAGAGUUAGCCGAUCCUAAGUUGAGCGUUAACAUGACUCAUCGAAAGGGGAACUGGUUAAUAUUCCAGUGCUAUAGGAGUACACGAGGUAACUCAAAAAAGGCCUCACAAUUGACAGUUCGGGGAAGGUUGAGCAAGGUUGUCGCCUUGUUUAAAUGUAUAAUUCCGGGGAGUACCGUAAUGGUGAGAACCGGAAGAAAGCAUGAAUAGUCCUCCGUACGGAGGAUUCAGCUGAACCCUGGAUUCCGUGAAAAUUUUGUGAGGAUGAAUCUUCUAUAUUCGUACCCAGAACCAACACAGGUGCUCAGGGUGAGUAGCCCAAGGCGUGUCGGGGAAAAUCUAAGCGAGGGAAUUCGGCAAAUUAGCUCAGUAUCGUAAGUAGAAGGAGUGCCUGCUGUGCUUUCGAAAGAUGGCGUGGCAGGUCGCAGUGACAAGGGGGUUCCGGCUGUUUAAUAAAAACAUAGGUAACCGCAAGCCCGUAAGGGUGUGUACGGUUAUUGAAUCCUGUCCAGUGGUGGUAUCUGAAACCUGAUUUCAACCGGGCUAAGGACCGCUAAACGACGGGAGUAACUCUGACUCUCUCAAGGUAGCCAAAUGCCUUGUCGUGUAAGUUACGACGUGCAUGAAUGGAUCCACGAGGACCCCACUGUCCCCGCUUAGACCCCGGUGAACCCACCUGCUGGACGAACAGUCCAGCGACUUCCAGUGGAACAAGAAGACCCCGUGGAGCUUUACUGCAGUCAGUUGCUGGGACGUGGUUGCUUUUGCAGAGCGUAUGUAGGAGCCAAUGAGUACGUAUCUCUGGGUACGUAGGAGGCGCCAAUGGAACACUACACAUUUGUGACUACUUCCCUUACCAAGAUUUUACUAUCUGGGACACCGGCUGAUGGGCAGUUCGGCUGGGGCGGCACCCCCUUGAAAAGGAAUCGAGGGGGCCCAAAGUCUAGCUCAGGAGGGACAGAAACCCUUCGUAGAGUGUAACGGCAAAAGCUAGAUUGAUCGGAUAUCUAACAAUAGGAUUUCCGAAGGUGAAAGCCAGGCGUAACGAGCUAUCAGGUCCUUAUUAAUGAGGGUUGGUAGUGUCAGAAAAGUUACCCCGGGGAUAACAGGCUUGUCGCGGGCGAGAGUUCGCAUCGACCUCGCGGUUCGGUACCUCGAUGUCGACUCUUCCUAUCCUGGCCUUGCAUAAGGGGCCAAGGGUGAGGCUGCUCGCCUAUUAAAAGGGAUCGUGAGUUGGGUUUAGACCGUCGCGAGACAGGUCGGAUUUUAUUUACUGGGAGUGUUGGAAGUCUGAGGGGAAAGGGCAUUCAGUACGAGAGGAACAAUGCGCUGUGGCCUCUGGUGAACCGGUUGUCUGAUAAGGCACCGCCGGGUAGCUACGCCGCGUAGGAUAAGAGCUGAAAGCAUCUAAGCUCGAAGCCUCUCCUAAAAAUAGACUUCCGAACCUUCGGGUUGGAGAGCGCCCAUAGAAGAUGGGUUUGAUGGAAAUGGGGUGUACGUGCCAAGGCUUCGGCCGAGGUAUUCAGCCCACAUUCCCCAAUAGCUCAAAAGACCAGCU
rnacentral:rRNA from 1 species